GUUGAUACAAUCCAUGCUGGAUUGACAUGAGCCAGCUCUGCCCCUGGCACAUCACCUCCGGAAGGGCAGGCUGCUGCGGGAAUGAACACCGCGUGGCUGGGGGCAGGACUGGAGGUUUAGCAGCGCAGGUGACACCUGAGACGUAAAGAAGCGACUGCGUUUGCUGCACCCAGAGGCCAUUCUGUGAGUCUCUUGGGAUGUCUGCUCCUGAGCCUCCAGCCAACUCAGGCCCAUCCAGAUGCUCUGUCUCAUAGCUAAGACUCACCUGGUUUUCAAAUCAGCACGUGUAGCACGCACAGGGCUCCG